GCCAAGCCCCACCAAGCACCUGGGGCUGUGCUGGGACCCCCGGGACGAGCCGUUUCAUCAGGGCCAGGGCUUUCGCAUACGAGAGCAGAGCCCCCGGCGAAAGCCACACUGAGACAGGCAGACGUGGUUCGCCCCCAGGGAAGGGGCAGCACCUCCAGACAGCAUCUGCCUGCAAUCCCAGUGAACCUCGUCAGGGUUCAGCUCUAGAGCAAGGCGCAGAGGAGCUCCUCCUGCCACUUAAGCAACUUCGCACAAUCGUCUGUAAUGGCAGAGCCAUCAGUGCUGCUUCCCUAUUCCUGCUUUGUCAUUCAGGGUCGAAUGGGAGUGCUCCAGCAUGAGGCAAAGACCACUGACACUGUACAUUUAAUUCAACUUACAAAAGGCUACUGGGUGUUAAAAGGAAAACGAAAAAAAUAAUCCCACAGAAGUCUUCCAGGUCUGUUUUGUCCCAGUUUUAAACGGUAAAAUCUGUACUUUGUUCUCAGCUAUUGUUGCAAAAUUGAACCACUUUCAGCCUCUCACCUUAAAGGCUGCCUUCACGCAGAGCUGCUGAGUACAGCAUGGAAUGAAAGCUCUCACUUGGCCUAGAAACCUCAAGUGUGUGAACCUCACUAAAACACACACAGGGAGAUGGGCUUUGAAAUGGAGCAAAGCCAGAAGCCAGCGAGUCCCCACAGGAUGCCUCGUGGCUGCUCCCAAGAUGAGGAGUGCAACUCCAGCUGAGAGACACUCUGUACCUGUCAGUCUCGUAAUGCCUCCCUGAUAACAGCCCUGGCCUAGAAAUAGCUCAGUGCUAGAUGAUGCUCUCAAGAGACUGAUGAAUGUCUCUGACUCUCUGCAGCAUCCCAGCAGCUGGCUCCUGCCUGGCCCCACUGCGCCUUGGCUCCUCAGCACCAGGGCCUGAUGAGGACCUGCAGCACCCUUGUCUGAUGAGCGUUGAGGUUUGCUUGGCUGGGAUGGAGGGAAAACAUCCUCUCCUGGGAUGGAGAGAAAACAUCUUUGGUCCUGCAAACAUUGUAUGCACAUUAGCCUCCCCCAGGGCUUGCCUCCCUGAGCAAGUCCAGCAUGCAGAGCUGUCAGUUUCCCUUUCUUUUUGGAGAUGUGACCAUGGGAGGGGACUGAGCUUUGUCACCUCCUCCAGCUGGGACAAUACCAGUGCUUGGCAGGAACAUCCUGGCAAUGUCAGCUUGUGCCCUCCCGGUGUCACCUUGCCCUGCUCAGCCAUGGGCUGCACAUCCUACUGAACUCUGCAGGGCCAGGGAUGCUCCAGCAAUGAGACCUGAGGCCACUCCAGCCCCAUUCCCAGCCCUCUACCAUCCCAUACCCUGUUACUGCUUCCACUCCUCUGAGAUGGCUGUGGGGUGCUGCCCCCAAGCCCUCCUGGGUCCUCCUGCACCCAGUGCCAGGAGGCUGCUGGAGAAGCCCUGAUGCUAGCCAGGAGGGAGGUGGUCGCUCGGUCCUGGAUUUGGGACAGCAAAGGUAACUGCAAUCUGCCAAGUUCCUCCUGCUGCCCAGGCAGAUCCCUGCUCUCGGCUGCUGUGCAGGAUCACUGUUCUGUGCUGUGCAGGAUCACUGUGCAAAGCAGAACGACUGCUGCACUUCAUUUCCCAAGUGGCCACUGUUUGUUUAUCAAUGAACAAAGUGAGCCCUCGCCCAUGUGAGCACCUCUUGCCAGCGAUUCUGCACAAUGCAGUGACCAGCAGUGCUGGAGGGUCACAGUACAGAAAGCCACGCUCCCAUCCAUCCAUCCUGUCUCUCUGCAGAGAAGGCAGGGAUGCUCCUCCUCUCAGCAGGUUUUGUGUAAUCUCUCCCCUGCUGACUGAUGCUGUCCCAGGGAGUCAGAGCUGUGCACUGCAUUAGCACUGCCUGCAAGAUGUCUGGCCUGGGUGAAGGGAUCCUCUCCCCUUCUUUCCACACCAGCCCCCGACCUGUCCCUGCAGUGCAGCAGGAACAGCCUGACCUCUGUAACCUGCCCCAGCUCAUGGCCCCGGGCUCCUGCAGCAGCACUGACUUCUCUGCAGUCACUCUAUAGGGGAAGUAAAAAUCUCCUGGUAUCUGUUUUAUCUGCAUCCAUCUUAAGCACUGGAGAAUACUGUUAUUGGAGCUCAGCAGAAGGGUAUUUUUUUUUUACAUGAUUGAAACUAGAAUUAUAUGUACAAAGCUAUAAA